rnacentral:lncRNA from 1 species
AUCCAAAAACACAUGCUUCCAAAACUUUCUUCUAGUGAGUGCUAUGAGCUAAGUUUUACAAUCAAUAGGAAUUUAGUCAAUACAUCAUGUUGCAGAUUUUCUGACAUUGAGUUUAACAGUUUUUCCAUUUCUCCUCAGACGCUUUAAAGCCGGUAAGAUCCGCUGUGUGAUCCCUUUCACAAGGCAGGCAGAGCGUAGUCGGGCGCUUCUCAUGUAAAGUCUGGUACGAAUUCUAGAAUUCAGAAUUAAUUUGUGUGACCAAAUUGUUCCAUCAAGAUCCCCUUGACACCUAUCUGUUUGUAUUUGUUGCUAUAACGUUACAAAUCUAGCAACAUUUAGAUGAAUAUCACUAUUAAUACAAAAUACCCACAGACAUUGUAUCAAUUUCUCAGCUGUUACGGCUGGAUCCUCUUUGCAAGCCUGGUAUUCCCUUCCCUGAAAUUUAACUGUACAGUACUGAGCUCUUUUCUAACAAUUGAUUUAUAUAUCUAGCCCUUUCUGACAUAUCGGAUUUGAUCAAUAUCGCAAUAUCCAAUUCCGACAUCAAAGAGACGUAUCCAUGAGCGAGAUAUUGAGUUUGGGAAUUAUUGUUCAACUCAUCUCUCUCUCUUCCCUAUUGGAUUUUUUGGGUUUCACUAACACCAAAUUAAGGCAGAUAAGACAUAACCUUUCUCGCUCAGCAUUUAUACUUAAACUGUACAGCGAGAUACCAAGUCAGAGUUACACUUACUGGCUAAACAUCUAUACCUAGGUUAAAAACAACGAAAUACUGAUUUCCUCAUAGCUGCUUCAGUUAACUCUUACAGUUCUAGUAAUACCAACCCAGACAGACUUGCGACAAACAUAUCAGCAGGACAAGAGUUUAGUAACUAUCGUUGUAUUUACUCUUACAAGCUUUACCAGAUUUCACUAUUACCAUAUCAAUUAUCUAGGCAGACCAAUAGAUUAAUAAAAAUAUAUUCUACUAAAAAUAGCAGCAAUAGGAAUCCAGGAGCUUUUAGAUGUUUUUAGACCAAUAGAUUAACCUAGUUGCUUAGCAAGCAUACUGACUCCGUUUCUAAACAAAGUUUUUACCGCAAUUUUAGGUGGUGGUUCUGCUCACUAUUUUUCACGGGUGCACUAUAAAUCUUUUAUUUAUUGAUUUUAUUUAUUGAUUUAAUAAAAGUUACGUUUUAUAUUUAUUAGGAUUAUAACCUUAAUUGGUUUAUAUUUCCACACAUUUUGGAUUAUUGGGCAUUGGUUCCCUCUCCCUUUCUACUCUCCUGCGUUGCAAUUCUUUUUUGUAGAAACAAACUAACUUUGCUUAAAACAAGUGAAGCAAGCCCCAGUAGUGCUCUAUACACAGAAAAGAGAGUAAAAUAGAGAAAUAUAUUGUUAAGAGAUUAAACUUCAAAGUGGCAAUGAGGCAUUCUUACAGCAGUAACACAAACACCUUUAAUAAGUUAAGGAUUCUAACUUUAUCAAUUGUACCUACAGCAUUCAUGAGACCAAAGUAAAGAGAAAAGGAAGAAAUGUGAGGCUGGCAGUGUACCUCCAGAAAAACACCAAUCUGAUCAUCUUUUAAGAAGAGCAAUCCAUGGACGUAGAAAACCCCUAAAAUCUUAGAGAAGCAUUUCACAAAAAUAAGACAUGGACCUUCACAGACCAUUCACUUGGAUGCAAAACAAAUCUUACAGUUACUUCUUUGGAAAUUAUAUAAUUUAAUAAAUCAUUGAAAA